CGCGUAAGUGAUCUACCCCUGUAUCUGGAAUAACUAUGGGAAACUGUAGCUAAUACCGGAUACGUUCAUGUGAUUGCGAUUAUGUGAAGAAAGAUGGCCUCUGACAUAAGCUAUCGUACAGGGAGGAGCUUGCGUACCAUUAGCUAGUUGGCAGGGUAAAGGCCUACCAAGGCGACGAUGGUUAGCGGGUCCGAGAGGAUGAUCCGCCACACUGGAACUGAAACACGGACCAGACUCCUACGGGAGGCAGCAGUGAGGAAUAUUGCGCAAUGGGGGCAACCCUGACGCAGCGACGCCGCGUGGAUGAUGAAGGCCUUCGGGUCGUAAAAUCCUGUCGGAUGGAAAGAAGUGUGAUGUGGUUAAUACCCAUGUCAUUUGACGGUACCAUCAGAGGAAGCACCGGCUAACUCCGUG
rnacentral:rRNA from 1 species